rnacentral:rRNA from 1 species
AGAGCGAACGCUGGCGGCAGGCUUAACACAUGCAAGUCGAGCGGGCGUAGCAAUACGUCAGCGGCAGACGGGUGAGUAACGCGUGGGAACAUACCUUUUGGUUCGGAACAACACAGGGAAACUUGUGCUAAUACCGGAUAAGCCCUUACGGGGAAAGAUUUAUCGCCGAAAGAUUGGCCCGCGUCUGAUUAGCUAGUUGGUGAGGUAACGGCUCACCAAGGCGACGAUCAGUAGCUGGUCUGAGAGGAUGAUCAGCCACAUUGGGACUGAGACACGGCCCAAACUCCUACGGGAGGCAGCAGUGGGGAAUAUUGGACAAUGGGCGCAAGCCUGAUCCAGCCAUGCCGCGUGAGUGAUGAAGGCCCUAGGGUUGUAAAGCUCUUUUGUGCGGGAAGAUAAUGACGGUACCGCAAGAAUAAGCCCCGGCUAACUUCGCGCCAGCAGCCGC